rnacentral:rRNA from 1 species
UUGAACGCUGGCGGCAUGCCUUACACAUGCAAGUCGAACGGCAGCACGGGAGCAAUCCUGGUGGCGAGUGGCGAACGGGUGAGUAAUAUAUCGGAACGUGCCCAGUCGUGGGGGAUAACGUAGCGAAAGUUACGCUAAUACCGCAUACGAUCUAAGGAUGAAAGCGGGGGAUCGCAAGACCUCGCGCGAUUGGAGCGGCCGAUAUCAGAUUAGGUAGUUGGUGAGGUAAAGGCUCACCAAGCCGACGAUCUGUAGCUGGUCUGAGAGGACGACCAGCCACACUGGGACUGAGACACGGCCCAGACUCCUACGGGAGGCAGCAGUGGGAAUUUUGGAUAAUGGGCGCAAGCCUGAUCCAGCAAUGCCGCGUGCAGGAUGAAGGCCUUCGGGUUGUAAACUGCUUUGUACGGAACGAAACGGUGAGCUCUAAUACAGUUUGCUAAUGACGGUACCGUAAGAAUAAGCACCGGCUAACUACGUG